rnacentral:rRNA from 1 species
GACGAACGCUGGCGGCGUGCUUAACACAUGCAAGUCGAACGGAAAGGCCCUGCUUUUGUGGGGUGCUCGAGUGGCGAACGGGUGAGUAACACGUGAGUAACCUGCCCUUGACUUUGGGAUAACUUCAGGAAACUGGGGCUAAUACCGGAUAGGAGCUCCUGCUGCAUGGUGGGGGUUGGAAAGUUUCGGCGGUUGGGGAUGGACUCGCGGCUUAUCAGCUUGUUGGUGGGGUAGUGGCUUACCAAGGCUUUGACGGGUAGCCGGCCUGAGAGGGUGACCGGCCCCAUUGGGCCUGGGAUGCGGCCCAGACUCCUCCGGGAGGCAGCGGUGGGGAAUAUUACACAAUGGGCGGAAGCCUGAUGCAGCAACGCCGCGUGCGGGAUGACGGCCUUCGGGUUGUAAACCGCUUUCGCCUGUGACGAAGCGUGAGUGACGGUAAUGGGUAAAGAAGCACCGGCUAACUACGUG